rnacentral:rRNA from 2 species
UAGGGAAUAUUGGACAAUGGGCGAAAGCCUGAUCCAGCAAUGCCGCGUGAGUGAUGAAGGCCUUAGGGUUGUAAAGCUCUUUUACCCGGGAUGAUAAUGACAGUACCGGGAGAAUAAGCUCCGGCUAACUCCGUGCCAGCAGCCGCGGUAAUACGGAGGGAGCUAGCGUUGUUCGGAAUUACUGGGCGUAAAGCGCACGUAGGCGGCUAUUCAAGUCAGAGGUGAAAGCCCGGGGCUCAACCCCGGAACUGCCUUUGAAACUAGAUAGCUUGAAUCCAGGAGAGGUGAGUGGAAUUCCGAGUGUAGAGGUGAAAUUCGUAGAUAUUCGGAAGAACACCAGUGGCGAAGGCGGCUCACUGGACUGGUAUUGACGCUGAGGUGCGAAAGCGUGGGGAGCAAACAGG